UGAGAGAGAGACUUCUCUCUGUGUUGUGUGUAACACUUCACUUCACUCUCAUGUGUGAAUGUAUGAGAGACAGAUUUGUGUGUCUUGUGUGUGAGAGACAGACCUCUCUCUCUCUGGUGUGUUUGUGUGUAACACUCAAUUUCACUCUCUCUCAUGUGUAUAUGUGUGUUUGAGAGAGAGACUUCCCUCUGUUGUGUGUUUGUGUGUAAUACUUAACUAAAAGUUAACUGAAAGUUGUAACAAAUACCAAUUUAAAGCAGUUACCGAAAGAGAAGUAAAAACAUAUAAUAUUGUAAAACAUACAUAAUAAAACAGCAGUAAAUAACAACAAUGGGAAAGUAUGUGGUCGCCAGUUGUGUAUGCGAUGCGCAGAGGCAUUCCCUCUGUGUGCGUUUUAAUUGACGGAGUGAUUAAAUAAUCGAAUUACCGCUUUUCGUUCUAAAAAAAAAAUCCCGAAGUGAUUUAUAAAUCUUUUUUAAAAGGUGACGAAGACACUAAAAACAACAACGGCAACAAAACAACGAAACGCUCCAUUAAAACCACCGUGUUUAAGCUGCGUCAAUUUCCGAAGACGGUAGCUGUGCUGCUCUUUUAUUGAUGAAACUAACAAGCAAGCGAACAAUGCGGCAUCUUAUGGCAAUUUAAAGAUUAACUUUAUUAUAGCGGCCUCAUUAACGCCGAUUCCCUGAAUUUACUAUCGCCCUCGUAUGCCAUAAUAAAUGGGCUAGUCUUCCCAGAGCCACAGGGCUCUGUUGUUUCAGCUGGGAGUAAAUUUCAUGGAGGCCGGUGUUUGUUUGUUUUUGACUUCCGCAGAAUCAACAGACAACGUCUUUCAUGCUGCAAGAGACACAACUGUGUCUUGGGACACCUUAAAGACCGCAAGAGAUGAACACAGACAUCAUCCUUUGGAAGCAAGUGACAGAACUGAGAUUGAACUUGAUAGCCCUUCCAACUCUAUGAUUCCAUGAUUCUUCAAUAUCAUUAUACCUGGCUGUUCAGAUUGACUUUCUGCACUUUGACUUGGUCAUUAAUAUGUAAAAAUAGAGACUGUGGUCAAGAAAUCGGAAGAUUAGGAUUUGGAAGGCCAGCUAAAAAGGAACUGGACAAGAUUCUCAAGUGAGAAGACACUGUAUAUACCAAGAUCAAGAAGACUAUCCUUGCAAUAAUAUUUCUCAUUUCUAUAGCCAUCGGUACAAAAUCUGAUACCUCUCCCCUGCAACUGAUGUACGCAACUGAAGUCACGGUUUGUAGUUCUCCAUGUCAGUGGGUUGGUGAAUCCAUGCCAUGGUUUUGGCUCUCUGAAAAGGAGCUUUCCGGGAUGUUGGGCCUGUUUGGGAACAAGGUUCAGCACAUGUUAAAACCUGGAUUCACUGCCUCACUGACAUGAGAGCCACCAUCUCUCACGAGGCAACAGCAAAGUAAGAUUACAAAUGCAUCUCCUUGUGUAGAAAUACGACACUAUGCACUGGUGGAAACCGCUGUUAGAAUAAUCCCCUUAGAUCGAAUGGGGCCUCUAGUCAGGAAGACAGUUUUAGGAUCCCAGGUGAUAACAUGCAUGAAGCAUUGCUUUGAGCCGGGCAUUGUGAGAGACAAAAGACUUGCCAGAUUGCACCGUGUUGAUUUACCGUUUCAUGCCUCUGUAUCGCAGCGCUGUGCAAACAGAAAGAAGUGCGGAAGAAGUGAUAAAAAGAAGCGAUAAAAAGAAGCAUUUUGCUUCUGUACUUCCAUAAGAUGUGUGCCAAAGUCAAGCAUAUUCCUGAUAAAUGGCCCAAACUGGGUUAGAUCUGUCGGCUCUCUUCUUCAUCUUCGUUUUAAUAGUUUUUAUUAAAUUUUAUCGUUGUGUUCUUUUAAAACACAACACAAGUCCUGUAUAUAUUAUUCAUUGUCUUCCAUACAUUCUCCCAUUUCUGCUCAUACCUUCAAUAACAUGCAAUCGCUCUAACUUCCAUCUAGUAAUACUUAGUAGGUAGGUCAACUUAUCCAUCUCAACCUUGUCUAACAGUUUCAACAUCUUCUCUUCUACCGAUAGCAGUGUUGACUCUCUUAUAAUGCUUAUUCUCCUGAAUGUGGCUAAAGAUGUGUUGAUUUUAUUUCCAAAUCCCAUUACCAAAAGCAACAACAACCCUAAGGCGAAACUAGAUGCUAUAGACAUCACAUGCAGGGAAACCUUACUGUUCCUUGCAACUAAAUAUACGGGUUCUACUCCAAAUUGGGUCCAUCCCAACAGAAGUAGAGGAAGUUUAGGCUUUCCUACUGCUUAUUACCCCUAAAAUUACACCAGUUCUUUAUGGGGUGUCUUAAAAAGGUGCCUUUAAACAUGGGAGGAACAUCCACUGACUUUACUGCAGCGUGAGAAACCUUCUUACUUCAGUAGCAAGCUGUACUUCCUGAAUAGUUAGGCAAUACUUGACGAGGAAAUAUCAAGGAACAAUAUCCUAAGGAGCACAGACUGACCCAGUGAAUGACAAUAACUAACCUGUAGGAAACAGAACCAUUUCUCAGUAAUGUAAAAGGAUGCCUCCCACCUUCCAUCUACAUUUGUGAUGUUCUUCUUGUUACAAAUUUAACCUCUUUCCCUGAUUAGCCAAGCUGGGAAAUAUUGGAGAGCCAAUUGAAUGUACUGCUGGGAACCUUUUCAAAAAUUAGGCUGAAUUUUCCCAGUUCCGGCAAAUCACAAAGGUGUUCUGAAACACCCAACAACCAGUUCAAAAUCUGCCCUGUUGGGAAAGAUACUGUGUCCCUUCAUUUCCGAUUUAUGGCGAUCCUAAGCUGAACAACUGAGAUGUAAUGGUUACAGCAAGAAGCAAUGUGAAUUCUUUUCAUAGCUGUGUUUUUACAAUAUUUUAUCCAGGUCCUGGAAUUUGCCCCAAUGCUAUGGUCUCUCUUCCCUAUAGAAGUUGGUGAUACUCACAGGAAGUCUAAAGCACCCUCGCCAGGGAGCUGUCCAGCCUCUUUCUGAAAAAUGUCCAGAGAAGGAGACUCCAUCAUCUCUGUAGGCAAUUGCCUCCAUUACCAAACUGCCCUCACUGCCAAGAAAUGCCUUCUAAUGUUCAUUCAAAAUCUACCUUCCUGUAACUUAAAACCAUUAACUCUUGCCCUACCUUCUGGUUCAAUAGAAAACAAACCUGUACCUUCCUCUUUGGGACAUCCAUUGAGAUAUUUUAAAAGUGCGACCAUGUCACCCCUCAGUCGUCUCUUCACCAAGCUGAACAUGCCCAAUUCUUCCUCAUAUGUUUUGUUCUCCAUACCUCUUAUAAUGCUUGUUCCCCGUCUCUGAACUUGCUCCAGCUUUGUAUUAUGGCUUGUUCUAACUCUAUCCUGUUUUAACUUAUGUUAUAAGAUGCAUUGGGUCUUAUACUGGGGAAAAGGUGGGAUGUAUAUUAAAUAGGCGUAUAGACUAGCUGCAGUAUAGAGUGAAAUGUAAAUAAGAGUAUUUCUGCAGUUGUCAGAUAGGGCUAGACGCUAGGCAGACUUCAGGUUUGUUGUAGCCAUACCCUCCAACCGUCCUGGUUUUGCUGGAACAGUCCUAACUAAUCCUCUGCCAUCUUGCUUUUUCAGCUGCUUUUAAACUGUCCUGGUUUCUCUCUCUUUCUUUCUUCCUUUGUCCUCAGUUUAGUUCAGUGGCUGCAAUCUGAGCUCAGACUGUAAAAGUUUCUGUUCAACUCAGCAGGAGGAGAAGAGGAAGAAGAAUAUUGCUCUUCCCACCUACCAGCCAGAUCUGCCAACCAGUUGUAAAAGAUACACACUUGGAGUGAAAGAAGACAGUGGCUCUGAGAGUAUUUUGAGCCUAGAAAUUUUGUUCUCAGUCGCAGGACUGACCUGAACUCACAGACGUCCACAGAAAAGUCCACUAUUGAUGACUUCUACCUCUCUAUAGGUAGAAAAAGUCAUGUUAGUGGUUGUUGUUGUUGUUGGGCGUUUGGCAAGCAUUUCUGUCUACUGCAAACCAACCCAAGAGUGGACCAGAAGAUCCCAGUCAACAUUCUGCCCACUCCUUCUUUAAGGCUACAAAAUCCAUGUUGCAAUGCAAUUGACUGGAGUGAAUUGACGUUGUCUUGUUUAAGGCCUUCGCCGGGCUUCCAACGCCGCAGCUUCCAGGUGGAAUUACGUACAGGCCGUUGGAAUAAAAUCUCAUCCGAGGCUGUAGAGAUUGCUAGGCAACUCAAGAGGAAUGGAGAAACAGAUAUAUCUGAUGCAAAUGCAGUAAAAGGCCUCCUUGGUGGCUGCUCCCAGGCUCUAGGACUCCUUUCCAACAGAGGUGAAAGCACAGCAAUUUAUGCCUACAAGUCUAUCGGUGUGCUAAAAACUGGCAUGUUCGAAUGCAGUUUUUUACGGCAGCUCCACUGGUCCAAAUAAAGAACUGCGGACUGUCUUUUCCUCAUGGAACAAUGCAUCUGUUUUUUUAAGGAAAAUUUGGCACCGGAUGCAGAAAUAACAUAGAAAGAAUGGCGAUAGGUUCUGACACUACAAAAACAGCAUUGAGGACACAAGAGAAGACUUUCCUGGUGGCUGCUCCCAGGCUGUUGAAUUUCCUUGGCUGGGUCCCUUUUUUGCUCUCCUGCUGACAGACCCUCUCCAGAGCCUUUCUUAGGCAGAGUCUUUUGCAUCCUCUGCUAUGUAAACCUUUUCAUUUGAGGUGCUUGGGAACUUGGGACCUUCUGCAGGCAAAGCAGGUCAUAGCAAAGGCCAGGAGAAGGUGAGGAACCCUGGAGCGCCUGCUGGGAUAAGGUCACCCGCUAUAAAUCACAAGGCUUACCAAGGUCUGGUAGGCAAU